rnacentral:rRNA from 1 species
AGAGAUUGAACAUAAGAGUUUGAUCCUGGCUCAGAUUGAACGCUGGCGGCAUGCUUUACACAUGCAAGUCGGACGGCAGCACAGAGAAGCUUGCUUCUUGGGUGGCGAGUGGCGAACGGGUGAGUAACAUAUCGGAACGUACCGAGUAAUGGGGGAUAACUAAUCGAAAGAUUAGCUAAUACCGCAUAUUCUCUGAGGAGGAAAGCAGGGGACCUUCGGGCCUUGCGUUAUUCGAGCGGCCGAUAUCUGAUUAGCUAGUUGGUGGGGUAAAGGCCUACCAAGGCGACGAUCAGUAGCGGGUCUGAGAGGAUGAUCCGCCACACUGGGACUGAGACACGGCCCAGACUCCUACGGGAGGCAGCAGUGGGGAAUUUUGGACAAUGGGCGCAAGCCUGAUCCAGCCAUGCCGCGUGUCUGAAGAAGGCCUUCGGGUUGUAAAGGACUUUUGUCAGGGAAGAAAAGGCUGUCGCUAAUACCGACAGUUGAUGACGGUACCUGAAGAAUAAGCACCGGCUAACUACGUGCCAGCAGCCGCGGUAAUACGUAGGGUGCGAGCGUUAAUCGGAAUUACUGGGCGUAAAGCGAGCGCAGACGGUUACUUAAGCAGGAUGUGAAAUCCCCGGGCUCAACCUGGGAACUGCGUUCUGAACUGGGUGACUAGAGUGUGUCAGAGGGAGGUAGAAUUCCACGUGUAGCAGUGAAAUGCGUAGAGAUGUGGAGGAAUACCGAUGGCGAAGGCAGCCUCCUGGGAUAACACUGACGUUCAUGCUCGAAAGCGUGGGUAGCAAACAGGAUUAGAUACCCUGGUAGUCCACGCCCUAAACGAUGUCAAUUAGCUGUUGGGCAACUUGAUUGCUUAGUAGCGUAGCUAACGCGUGAAAUUGACCGCCUGGGGAGUACGGUCGCAAGAUUAAAACUCAAAGGAAUUGACGGGGACCCGCACAAGCGGUGGAUGAUGUGGAUUAAUUCGAUGCAACGCGAAGAACCUUACCUGGUCUUGACAUGUACGGAAUCCUCCAGAGACGGAGGAGUGCCUUCGGGAGCCGUAACACAGGUGCUGCAUGGCUGUCGUCAGCUCGUGUCGUGAGAUGUUGGGUUAAGUCCCGCAACGAGCGCAACCCUUGUCAUUAGUUGCCAUCAUUAAGUUGGGCACUCUAAUGAGACUGCCGGUGACAAGCCGGAGGAAGGUGGGGAUGACGUCAAGUCCUCAUGGCCCUUAUGACCAGGGCUUCACACGUCAUACAAUGGUCGGUACAGAGGGUAGCCAAGCCGCGAGGCGGAGCCAAUCUCACAAAACCGAUCGUAGUCCGGAUUGCACUCUGCAACUCGAGUGCAUGAAGUCGGAAUCGCUAGUAAUCGCAGGUCAGCAUACUGCGGUGAAUACGUUCCCGGGUCUUGUACACACCGCCCGUCACACCAUGGGAGUGGGGGAUACCAGAAGUAGGUAGGGUAACCGCAAGGAGCCCGCUUACCACGGUAUGCUUCAUGACUGGGGUGAAGUCGUAACAAGGUAGCCGUAGGGGAACCUGCGGCUGGAUCACCUCCUUUCUAGAG